rnacentral:lncRNA from 1 species
CGUGAAUUGAGGGAACAUUAGAAAUGCAAUGUAGUUCAAGAUAUAUGCAGUUGCAAAUGCUCCAGUACCAUCACCUCAUGUAUCUUAUUCGAUUGGAUGAUAUAGAAAAUCUAUUUGGCUGCAUGACCAUGAACUGUAUUUCUAAAUUUUUAUUUCUUUAUAUAUAGAGUGGUGUGAUUAAUUCUAGUAGAUUAUGAGAUUAUCCCUAUGUAGAAAUAGAAAUAUUUUUUCAUUCACAAGGCCCUUGUUUAGUUGGGGUUAAGGGGUGGAAUAACCCCUUUACCCCCAUAUUAUUCCCAAACAUCCCAAAAAAUAGGUGGGGUUAGCUAACCCCACCUCAAAUAAAUUAUUCCGGAUUAGCUAACCCCACCUAACCCCACCAAACUCCAACCAAACACUAUUUUCUAUUCAUAAUAACUCACUAUCUUUCUUAUCCCACCUACUCCAACCAAUCAUUAUCCUUCUUUAUCAAUCAUUAUCUUUUUAUCCCACCUACUCCGACCAAACACUAUUUUUUAUUAUUCUAGACUAACUCCAACCCCCAACCAAACACAAAAAAACUUUAACCCCACUUUAACCCUGAACUUAACUCUAUCUCUGGAAUAGCUACUUUUUUCUUAACCCCGAACCAAACGGAGGCAAGGUGAUUAGAUAGGGAAUUUGUCCUUUUGUUUAAAAUGUCUAGCAAGUUGCUACUGUAGUU